rnacentral:rRNA from 1 species
CGUAGGGUGCGAGCGUUAAUCGGAAUUACUGGGCGUAAAGCGUGCGCAGGCGGUUUUGUAAGACAGAUGUGAAAUCCCCGGGCUCAACCUGGGACCUGCAUUUGUGACUGCAAGGCUAGAGUACGGUAGAGGGGGAUGGAAUUCCGCGUGUAGCAGUGAAAUGCGUAGAUAUGCGGAGGAACACCGAUGGCGAAGGCAAUCCCCUGGACCUGUACUGACGCUCAUGCACGAAAGCGUGGGGAGCAAACAGGAUUAGAUACCCUGGUAGUCCACGCUCUAAACGAUGUCAACUGGUUGUUGGGUCUUUACUGACUCAGUAACGAAGCUAACGCGUGAAGUUGACCGCCUGGGGAGUACGGCCGCAAGGUUG